rnacentral:rRNA from 1 species
UGGCGGACGGGUGAGUAAUGUCUGGGAAACUGCCUGGUGGAGGGGGAUAACUACUGGAAACGGUAGCUAAUACCGCAUAACGUCGCAAGACCAAAGAGGGGGACCUUCGGGCCUCUUGCCAUCAGAUGUGCCCAGAUGGGAUUAGCUAGUAGGUGGGGUAACGGCUCACCUAGGCGACGAUCCCUAGCUGGUCUGAGAGGAUGACCAGCCACACUGGAACUGAGACACGGUCCAG